UACAGAGGGUGCGAGCGUUAAUCGGAUUUACUGGGCGUAAAGCGUGCGUAGGCGGCUUUCUAAGUCGGAUGUGAAAUCCCCGAGCUUAACUUGGGAAUUGCAUUCGAUACUGGGAAGCUAGAGUAUGGGAGAGGAUGGUAGAAUCCCAGGUGUAGCGGUGAAAUGCGUAGAUAUCCGAGAGAACACCGAUGGCGAAGGCAGCCAUCUGGCCUAAUACUGACGCUGAGGUACGAAAGCAUGGGGAGCAAACAGG
rnacentral:misc_RNA from 1 species